AUUGAACGCCGGCGGCAGGCCUAACACAUGCAAGUCGAACGGUAACAGGAAACAGCUUGCUGUUUCGCUGACGAGUGGCGGACGGGUGAGUAAGGUCUGGGAAACUGCCGGAGGGAGGGGGAUAACUACUGGAAACGGUAGCUAAUACCGCAUAAGGUGGCAAGACCAAAGAGGGGGACCUUGGGGCCACUUGCCAUUGGAGGUGCCCAGAUGGGAUUAGCUAGGGGGUGGGGUAACGGCUCACCUAGGCGACGAUCCCUAGCUGGUCUGAGAGGAUGACCAGCCACACUGGAACUGAGACACGGUCCAGACUCCUACGGGAGGCAGCAGUGGGGAAUAUUGCACAAUGGGCGCAAGCCUGAUGCAGCCAUGCCGCGUGUAUGAAGAAGGCCUUCGGGUUGUAAAGUACUUUCAGCGGGGAGGAAGGGAGUAAAGUCAAUACCUUUGCUCAUUGACGUUACCCGCAGAAGAAGCACCGGCUAACUCCGUGCCAGCCGCCGCAGUAA
rnacentral:rRNA from 1 species